rnacentral:lncRNA from 1 species
GAACGGGACCAGAGGCCUAAGAGGAGAGUCAGUCAUGGGCUCUGCAGGCUGGAGGUGGAGGGCACCGGGAGCGAACAGUCUAGGAGGCAAGCAGGCCCUGGAGGUCUGGGAAGCCAGCCCAGGGUGGAGGCUGCAAGGAGGCUGAGUGGGAAGGAAUGGGGGGCCCAGCAGACAGAGCAAGCGCCAUCUGGAUCCAGGGUGAGGGAUGGAGCAGAGGCACGGCUAGCAGCAGGCCACCGACAGCAAGCAGAACAGGAGGAGGUGACCGAGACCCUGUGCGCAGCCGAGGACGGCGCAGCAACACAGCAGAGCUGGUCAGGGGACGCAACAGGAUUGGUGAGUGGAGGGAGGGACAGAGAGGCGAGGAGGAGGAGAGACAGGCACGGGGGAGACAGAGAAUGGCCAGGGUGAUAAAGAGGUAGGCACAGGGGAAAGGGAGAGGGAGAGAUGCGCAGCGCCCAGUGAGAUGCUGGAGAACAGAGCGGAGAGCAGUCUGCCGAGGGAGCCCCCAGGGCUGGGCAGGUUGAGUGGGUCAGGAAGGGACACUAGGCCAGGUGGAGGGGUGGGCGGAUGCUGGGUGUGGAUCUGGGCUGGCAGAGGGCCCAGCUGGAGAGGUCAGCACAGGGCCCAUGCAUUUUAAAUAGCCACCUUGGAAGAGGAGUGGAAAGACCCUGAAGGCCAUGUGUGGAAGGCUAGGUCCCCAGCCUUUGGCACAAUUGGUAUGUGACACCAACUUCAGGAUGUGGGGCCUACUUGGAAAAGGUGGGUCACUGAGGACAUGACCUUGAAGGGCCCAUCUUGUCCCUGGCCCCUCCUCUGUCUCUGCUUCCUGGCCACAGCAAGGUGAGCCGCUUGGUCCACAAUGCCCUCCACACCAUGGUGUCCUGCCUCACCACAGCCCCAAAUGGGGUUUUGUCCCCGGGGCGGGGAGUGACUCAUGCAGGCAGGCGUAACCGAAGCUCACCCGGAGACUGACCUGCCAGCUGGGGCCACAGGAGGACCCUCGCUUCCCGAGGACUUGGCCACUCUCAAACGCUCCUUGAGCCACCAGACACCGUGCUCAGCACUGGGGGCUGGGGUGGUUGAAAUGUGUCCCCCAAUUCAUGUUGAAGUCCUGAUGACAGGACCUCAGAACCUGGCUGCACUUGUGAUCUUUAAAGUGGAAAUUAAGGUAAAAUGGGGUCACCUGGGAGGGUCCUGAUCCAAUCUGACUGGUGUCCUUACAGGAAUCAGGUCAGGACACAGACAGGCACAGAGGAAGGACCCUGUGAGGACACCCUGCCCUCGGGCCUCCAGCCCCCGCGCUAUGAGAAGCGGUUUCCUGCUGUUUCAGCCCAGCCUGUGGGCUCUGGCUCUGCCAGUGGCCCCGUACAGCAUGCCAGCUCCAGCACGCCAGCCCCUGUUUUAGCUGUGUCACCUGCUCGUGGGACAGACACCCAUGUGAGUGAGCAGCAUCCCUCAUGUGGCACUAGCCGUGGUCACCAUGGAAACAGGCCUCGCGGGAGGCACGGGGCUUCUGGGCAGAGACCUACCGUCUGACACUGGGCAGGACUAAAAUCGAACUGUGUUAGCGCAUUGCUUGUCCUUACGCAGUAGAACCCCAGAAAGUGCCAGGGAUGGAUUGUCUGUGCUGAGCCGGCUGCUGUAGAAGGGGCCCCGAAUAGGCGGAAGGCUCAUCUGCCGCCCAGUCUCCCUGAAGAAUGACCAUCUGAGUGGCAAAGGCCUUCCAGCUGCCAAGAUCCUUUCUGAGCUGAUGCCGUGCAGCGCCCCCAGGCACGGCGAGGUGGUGGGUAACUCCGGCUCCAGGCAGCUCAGGACAGUGGCCAUUCUCUGUCUCCCUGGGCUGUCCACAGUGAGCCACGCUGGUGGGUCGGAAAACCCAGCCUCACAAGACACCCGUCCUCUCAUGGAGACAGUUGAAGACCAAAAGGAGGGUGCCCGCACUGGCCCAGCCCUGUGUCUGGGCAGCGGGCAGAGGUACCUGCUGUGCGGGGGACCCCCUGUGCUCAGCCCACCCCUCAUCUUCCACAGGCGCCUGCCGCCGCCAUGAGCUUCAGAGGGCAGUGCAGACCGCCUGGGAGAGGCAGGAAGGACCUCUCAGCGCAGCCCAGGGCUGGCAGCACAGCUAGGUGACCGGCCAGGGCUACAAGAGGGGACCACGCCAUCCGCCUUCUGACCCACCCCAUCCUCACUCAUUUCAGCAGGGUUCUGAGCCCAGAGGACAUGCACACAAGAUCCAGGGUUCCGGGGCGGCGCCCUCUGGCGCUGCGUCCCGUAGAUUGGAUGGACAGCUGUGAAGAGGUAUAUCCUCAGCCUCUGAAAAUAGCCUCCAGUCCCCCUCAGUGGCUUUCACAGGAGUGACACCCAGGGACAGGCAGCCACAGAGGCAGAGCUGCCCUCCAUGUGUUGGCCCUUCAUCCAGGAACAAGGACCUUGUUCCAGGUGAGCCCCCUCCACUGGCCCCUCCAGGCCUGCUCAAAGGCCUUCUCCCUCCACGCCACCCGCCCCACAGCCUCGGGCUCCUCGUCCUCUGGAGAGUCCUCCUGGACCCAGAGUCCAUCUCCUAAGCCCUGUGUUCUGCUGCACACCGCCACCCUCCCACAGAUUCCCCGGCUCCUUCCCCACCCCCAGGAACAGCCCAGCACAGGGUGGGAACCGCGGAAGGAACGAUGAAGGGUCGACCCUGCUUCUCAGCAGACCGUUGGAUGGCCAGGGUCAGCAGCGUGGGAAGAGCCACCGAGCAGAGCGGGGACCGCAGCUCCCGUGGGGGGCCCCGAGGAGGGUGCUGCGUGACCUGCAGCAUGACUGUCUGUGCCCUGGGUGUUUAGACUGUUGUGAGUCAAAU